GCUGGGCACGGGGGUGCAUAACUGUAAUCCCAGCCACUCAGGAGGCUGAGGCAGGAGGAUCGCUGAGCCUCAGCAACAAAGGAGGCCCUAAGCAACUUAGUGAGACUCUGUCUCCA
rnacentral:sRNA from 1 species